GACGAACGCUGGCGGCGUGCCUAAUACAUGCAAGUAGAACGCUGAAGAGAGGAGCUUGCUCUUCUUGGAUGAGUUGCGAACGGGUGAGUAACGCGUAGGUAACCUGCCUUGUAGCGGGGGAUAACUAUUGGAAACGAUAGCUAAUACCGCAUAACAAUGGAUGACACAUGUCAUUUAUUUGAAAGGGGCAAUUGCUCCACUACAAGAUGGACCUGCGUUGUAUUAGCUAGUAGGUGAGGUAAUGGCUCACCUAGGCGACGAUACAUAGCCGACCCGAGAGGGUGAUCGGCCACACUGGGACUGAGACACGGCCCAGACUCCUACGGGAGGCAGCAGUAGGGAAUCUUCGGCAAUGGGGGCAACCCUGACCGAGCAACGCCGCGUGAGUGAGGAAGGUUUUCGGAUCGUAAAGCUCUGUUGUAAGUCAAGAACGGGUGUGAGAGUGGAAAGUUCACACUGUGACGGUAGCUUACCAGAAAGGGACGGCUAACUACGUG
rnacentral:rRNA from 1 species